CGGCAAAGCUCAAAUUUGAAAUCUGGCUCUUUCAGAGUCCGAGUUGNNNNNNGANGNNGGUAUCUUUGGGUCUGGCUCUUGUCUAAUGUUUCUUGGAACAGAACGUCACAGAGGGUGAGAAUCCCGUGCGAUGAGAUGAUCCAGGCCUAUGUAAAGUUCCUUCUGAAGAGUCGAGUUGUUUGGGAAUGCAGCUCUAAGUGGGUGGUAAAUUCCAUCUAAAGCUAAAUAUUGGCGAGAGACCGAUAGCGAACAAGUACAGUGAUGGAAAGAUGAAAAGAACUUUGAAAAGAGAGUGAAAAAGUACGUGAAAUUGUUGAAAGGGAAGGGCUUGAGAUCAGACUUGGUAUUUUGUAUGUUACUUCUUCGGGGGUGGCCUCUACAGUUUAUCGGGCCAGCAUCAGUUUGGGCGGUAGGAGAAUUGCGUUGGAAUGUGGCACGGCUUCGGUUGUGUGUUAUAGCCUUUGUCGAUACUGCCAGCCUAGACUGAGGACUGCG
rnacentral:rRNA from 1 species